UGCCUGUGUCAUGGCACAUGCCUAUAUUCCCAGCACUGGGGAGGCUGAGGCAGGAGGAU
rnacentral:miRNA from 1 species